rnacentral:sRNA from 1 species
GCUACUAACGCGAAAGAUGCCCAUGAGGCUUUGGCCGUUGAAAAGGAAAAAGUAGCUCAGGCGCUGGCCGACCUGGCAAGGUCUCAAGACGACGCCAAGGAGAUGAAGAGGAAAUAUGACGAGUUAGCUGGUCGCGCUCUUUCGGAGAUGAAGAGGCUUCGAGAACGUCGACUUGAAUAUGCUGAAUUUGUCCGGAGAUCGGCCCUUGAUAAGAUGGCGGAGCUCGUUCAGAAGCGAUUGGAUCGUAUUAAAGCUCAUAUUGACGAUACGAAGGCGGCAGAACCAAAGUUUCUUGAAUUCAACCAAGUAUCUGGGAAUAUCAAGACUCUCGAGGCGUUGGUCGAAGGUGGCGAAGUGGAGAUGAAGUCGGAUGACAUGAUGUUAAGAUUGGUAGCGGAUGCAGAGGAAUUGGAGGCCGAGGUGAAAGCUUUUGGUAUCACCGAUCUUAUGGACGGCGACUUCGAUGUUCGUACUUUAUUUGCCGAGCUGAGUCCUGAUAAUCGUAAUUCCGUUCCACCGCCGACUGAAGGGGAAGAUCUCGCGGAUGGACGAGGUGAGUGCGAAGGCCAAGCUGGUGAAAGAAUCGUUGGUCAAACUGAAGUUCGAGACGAGAUCGCGGAUGCUAGAGACUGAUAUUCCAGGAGGCUAAGCCAAAGGGAAGAAGCGGAGCUCAGAUGCCUAAAGAGAUCCCAAUAUGGCAAAACAAAAAAUAUUCUAAAAACUGAAUAAUCAACGAAUUUUAUAUUAUGUGACCAAAAAAUGAAAACAGAAACUAUGUAACAAUCAUCAAAUACAGUGUUUUCAGCAUUU